rnacentral:rRNA from 1 species
CCUACGGGGGGCAGCAGUGAGGAAUAUUGGUCAAUGGGCGGAAGCCUGAACCAGCCAAGUCGCGUGAGGGAAGACGGCCCUACGGGUUGUAAACCUCUUUUGCCGGGGAGCAAUGCCCAGCUCGCGAGCUGGGAAGGAGAGUACCCGGAGAAAAAGCAUCGGCUAACUCCGUGCCAGCAGCCGCGGUAAUACGGAGGAUGCGAGCGUUAUCCGGAUUUAUUGGGUUUAAAGGGUGCGUAGGCGGUCUGUUAAGUCAGCGGUCAAAUGUCGGCGCUCAACGCCGGCCUGCCGUUGAAACUGGCGGG